AUUGAACGCUGGCGGCAGGCCUAACACAUGCAAGUCGAACGGGUGGCGGAAGGGUGAGUAAUGCAUGUGAAUGUCGCUUAUGGAGAGGGAUAACUACGGGAAACUGUAGCUAAUACCGCGUAGAAUCGGAUGAGCCCAAGUGGGAUGAGGUAGGUGGGGAGGGAAAGGCUCACCAAGCCGACGAUCUCUAGCUGGUCUGAGAGGAUGACCAGCCACACUGGGACUGAGACACGGCCCAGACUCCUACGGGAGGCAGCAGUGGGGAAUAUUGGGCAAGGGGGGAAACCUGACCCAGCCAGGCCGCGUGAGUGAAGAAGGUCUUCGGGUUGUAAAGUUCUUUCGGUAGCGAGGCGUUAACUACAGAAGAAGCACCGGCUAACUCCGUGCCAGCAGCCGCGGUAAUAC
rnacentral:rRNA from 1 species